rnacentral:rRNA from 1 species
AUUGAACGCUGGCGGCAGGCCUAACACAUGCAAGUCGAACGAGUGGCGGACGGGUGAGUAAUGUCUGGGAAACUGCCCGAUGGAGGGGGAUAACUACUGGAAACGGUAGCUAAUACCGCAUACCAUCGGAUGUGCCCAGAUGGGAUUAGCUAGUAGGUGGGGUAACGGCUCACCUAGGCGACGAUACCUAGCUGGUCUGAGAGGAUGACCAGCCACACUGGAGCUGAGACACGGGCCAGACGCCUACGGGAGGCAGCAGUGGGGAAUAUUGCACAAUUGGCGCAAGCCUAAUGCAGCCAUGCCGCGUGUAUGAAGAAGGCCUUCGGGUUGUAAAGUACUUUCAGCGGAGAGGCGUUACCCGCAGAAGAAGCACCGGCUAACUCCGUGCCAGCGGCCGCGGUAAUAC